AGAGCGCAGCAGGUCCUGCGAACUCCGGGAAAGGCGCCUCCUUGGCGGAGACACCUCCCGUCCCCGCCCCGGCACCGAGCAGCAGCAGCAGCGGCAGCGGCGGCACGGCCGGUUCCCUUCCCUUCCCUUCCCGGGCGGGCCGGGGCCGCUCGGGGCCCGGCUGCCGCAGCUGACAUGGCGGCCGCGGGCCCCUCCCGCGCUGCCGGCCCGGCAGCGGCCGCGCCUCCUCGGCCGGCCCGCAGCAGGGCGGUGGCGGCGGCGGCUUCCGGCGGAGCCCUCCUGCCUUUAACAAAGAUGGUGCUCCCCGCGCAAGCUCCGCGGGCGCCGGCGCGUCCUGGGUAGCUUCCCGCUCCCCUCGUGUUGCCAGAUGGAAGCCAGAGACAAGCAGCUUUUACGCUCCCUGCGCCUGGAGCUCUGCACAGAGGUGCUGGUGGAUGGACUUGUUAUUCAGUAUCUCUACCAAGAAGGGAUUCUCACAGACAGUCAUGUUCAAGAAAUAAAAGCCCAAACCACUAGUCAGAGGAAAACCAUGAUGCUUCUUGAUAUUCUCCCCACCAGAGGACCCAAAGCUUUUGAUGUGUUCUUGGAUUCCUUACAGGAGUUCCCGUGGGUUAAGGACAAGCUGAUGCAAAAGCGUAAGGAAAUGACAAUACAAGAUCCUUCAGACUUAACUGAGGUUGCACCGUGCGUUUUGAAAAUGUCACCAACAGAUCAGCAGUUGAACAAGCUGGCAAGGAGGCUGGGGCCUGAAUGGGAACAUGUAGCUCUGUGCUUGGGUUUGUCCCAUACUGACAUCUAUCGAUGUAAAGUCAAUCACCCUCACAACCUGCAGUCACAGAUCGUAGCUGCAUUUGUCCUGUGGAAACAGCGUUUGGGGAAAAAAGCAACAAUCCAAAGUCUGCGCUCCAGUCUGAUGGCAGAGGAAGUGGAUCCUUCGGUGAUACAAUACAUGCUUGAGUGAAGCCAUGCUAUUUAUUCAGAGCAUCCAUGUAUUUCGUUCAAUUAAGUGAAGAGGAUGAAAAUGUGGAAAACCAUCCCAGAGCAGGUGUACAGACAUUUGGCAAAUUCAUAUGAGCACAGCCCAGCACAGGGAGUGAGAUGAGGACUUUAAAGCAAUUUUGACAGUGAGAUUUACAGGAGCAUGAUUUGCAUAUUAAGGAAGAGAGGCAAAGCAGUCUUCCUGGGAGGAAGUUUGGAGGAAAAAAAGCUAGAGAUCAUUGACAGGAGGAACUACUGAAAAUGUGAUGUAGAGGAAGAAGUUGACUCCCAGUGUCAUAAAUGUAAGUACCUUACCUUGCUCUGAACCAACAAGGACCAAGUCUAAACACAGACUGACCCUUCAAGGCAGUUCUUCCCCAGUUAACCCAGAAUGAGCACAGUGCUCCAAGGAGGCAACCAGUCUGGGCAGUGAAGCAAUGUAGUGGGGACACUCACAUGACCCUGGUACCUUUUUCUCUAGGUGAACUCUGCAUUUCGUAUUCUUCAUUUCAUGAAAUCAUGGGAUGGUUUGGGUUGAAAAGGACCUCCAAGAUCAUCUAGCUCCAACACAUCUGCCAUGGGCGCCUUUCAGUACACCAGUUUGCUCAAAGCCCAAACCAACCUGGCCUUGAAUGCUUCCAGGAAUGAGGCAUCCAAACAUAUCUGGGCAGUCUGUUCCAGUGCCUCAUCACCCUCACAAUUAAGAAUUUCUCCUUAAUAUUUAAUCUAAACCUGUCCUCUUCCAGUUUGAAGCCACUCCUCCUUGUCCUAUCACUACAUGGUCCUUGUAAAAAGUCCCUCUUCAGCUUUCUUGUGGGCCUCUUUUAGAUAGUGGACAGUGCUAUAAGGUCUCCCCAUAGCCUUCUCUUCUCCAGGCUGAGCAGUCCCAACUAUCACAGCCUUUCCUCAUCUAAGAGGUGCUCCAGCCUUCUGGUCCUCUUCAUGGUGCUUCUCUGGACUCACUCCAGUGUUUCUAUGUCCUUCCUGUAUGUGGACUCCUGAGCUGUGAGCAGCACUCCAAAUGGGGUCUUAUGAGAAUGGAGAAGAGGCAGAGAAUCACCUCCCUCAACCUGCUGGCCAUGCUUCUUUUGAUGCAGCCCAGAAUAUGGUUGGCCAAUGUCAGGUUAUCCAUAACUAAUAUACUUAUUUAUAUUGUUAUAUAUUAGUAUUUAUAAUGGUUAAGAAAACAGCCUUCAGUAGAUAUGAAAUUUCAUGCCAAAUAAGGCUUCCUUUCAAGCCAGGUAUCUGUCUGAGUAUCUACUAUGGGCCACUGGAAACCAGAUGGGUGAGUAUCUUAUCAGGUAAUUUCUCCAACUUCUUUAGGUGAGCUAAAUGUACAAACCUUGCACCUGGUACUAAAAUUAUAGGAGCCACAGCUAGACAAGGAUUAUAAAACCUGGCCUCUCAUAUUGUAGAACAAAGCAUAUAAUUAAUAAUUUAUAGUUGCUUUCACAUUCCCAGAGCCUAAAUGAAUGCUGUAAUACUUGAGUUGCAAAUAUUGAAGGGAGAGGUUUACUUGUUUUAUGAGAUUGUUUCCAUUGCUGAUAUUUUUCAAUUCAUCGAAAUAUUCCUAUUAGACUCUUCAUUUUUAUUAAAGCUUGUUUUUGCACUACACAAAUGUGGGGAUACAUUCAUCUGACAGUAGUAUUCCUUUAACCCAGGGGAUUUUUCCAUCCACUUAAAAAUAUUUUUCUUCUGUAUGUAAUGCUUUAUUUUGCACAAGGAUGCAAUUAAGACAAUUUAAUUCUUCAGAUGUAUAGUAAGGCCUCUUAUUCUCUCAUAAAACACUCAGAAGACCUUAAAAUGUUUAUUCUUUUCUGCUGAUUUAAGACCAAAUGUUAUUUAUUUAAAUCUCGUGGACAAGCCUGCGACUUGAGUGUUGUUCAGGACUGAGGCAACUCAGUGAGUUUCCCCAUCUCUCCCUUUGCCUCAAACUCCCUUUUUGUCAAAGUUUGGGUGAUGACAGGAGACUUGCACGGGGGCUCCUGUCCUCCCUGCCCACUGUGCAUCCAGGACUGGUGCAGGGGGCAGGCUGACUUCCAGCGGAACCCCAGUUCCACCACUUGUGCUGAAGCGUACAGCCACUUUGGGCUUUGGGAUGGAGCGUGAGUUUGGCAAAGGUGAGCCAGCAGAAACUGCUCUCUGAUGUGUUCAGGUUUCUUAACCAAUGUCGAGAAAUCCUCGCUAGUGAAACUGGUAUUAUUGGUAUCUACUUAUUUGUGACAGAGUUUAGGAGCUCCAAGACAGGAAAGAAUAAAUAUGGCCACUGCUGGAGCUUCCACUGAAACAGAUGGCAUAACUUCCAGUCCUUGGAAGACGUUGUCCUUGAUUUUCUUGCUUGGACUCCAGAGGAGACUUUGACAUCCCAUUUAACUCUUCUAAGUUGUGAAGAAGCUCUAUUAAAAAACUAAAACCAAAAAAAACCUGGUUUGUACUCUGCAAGUACAGGUAGACACUUAGCAUGGCAUAAGCAAGACCUAAGUGCACUAAUUCUCACCUGCAUGAGCUAUAUGGAUGAUCACAAUGGAAGGAUCUUCCCAGGGUAAAAGCAUGUCACACUGCUAACAUUUAAAAGUGGCUGGAGUGUAAAAUGAAAAUGCAGUCAUCUGUGAGCCACUUCACCCAGAUAUAGUGAGGGAAAUUUCCAUCUGGAGUCAUAUUUUAUGACAGUCAUUGAUAUAUGGAAUAAAACAUUUUGCAAAAGUCUGGAAAAAUAAACAAUGUCAUAUUAUAUUCAAAGGAAAUAAAAGGCAUGCUCAUCUCAUGCUAAACGUGGUCAUGCUGCCAAUUUUGUUUCUUAUUGGAAAGGAAAACAGUCUCUGAGAGCUAAUCUGUUUAUAAGCUUCCAUAUUCUCCAUAGACCAAUGUCAAGACAUAGUAGAAGUAGAGCUAAAAAGACAGUUGAUAAAAUGUUUGUCUGUUUACAGUGAAUAUUCAAAAUCUUUGACCAGAUUUCCCUAAAUGAAAAGAAUUUUAGCGUUCAAGGUGUCUUACUGUCACCUAAAAUCUAAAGAUCUAAAACAAAUCUAGUGAUUUGGCUUUUUUCCCCCUGAAUGCAGUGUCUUUUUUAAUUGAUGUCCUGAGAAAAAUGAGCAUUUGCCAGAAACAAAAAUAAGCAGAUUAAAAAAUUAAUAUGUGUUUUAGCAGAAUUUGUUUCAGAACCUAGCAUUUUAGUUGUGAAAAAAGAUUAAUUGCAAUUUCCCUUUGAAACUGGUGGGUAGAGCUGAUGAUGGCACAGGAAGAUUCCUGUCUCUUCUGCAGGAAGAGACUGCAUUAAAACAUCUGUAGGUGAUGCAGGUACCAUUUCUGAAGCUGAUGUCUGUUCCAAGCCCCAACAGCAAAGAGACAAAAAGUCUCUUAUUAACUUCAGUGUGUUUUGGAUUAGGCCUUCUUUAAUUGGAACCUGCUGAAGCAUGGUACUUUUACUAUCUCCUUUUAAAAAAGCAGUCUUUUUGGAUUUGAGGCAAUCAAAAGGAAAGGGAGUUUUCUGGAUGUGAUAGGAAUUAUAGGCUAUGGAGUCCUCUUUUCACUGCCACAAGUACUACUUUGCACUAUUCACUUCAAAGUGCCAUGAAAAAGGAAAAAAAAAAAAACAACCUGAAAAGUGGAGUCAUGCAGCAAAGGAUAUUGGUAAAUCUCCAAAACCAAGAUAAUUUUGAGUUUUGGAAUGAGAAUAAUCCAUCAAACCGGGGAUUUGGUGGCUCAGGAGACUAUUAAUACAUUUGUGGAGUUUCCCACCUUAAGAUCAGUGUUGCAAAGCCACUGCUGACCCAAAAGAAGCACAGUGUAACAGAAGUCUGUGGGUUUUCUUUUCUCUUUUUUUACAACUUUCACAUCUGACCCACACAGAACCAGCCCUUGCUGUCAGACUUGGGAAAGGGCAGGCAGGAUGAAAUGAGCCAAGUACUUGAACUGGCCUCAGGCCACGAGAGGGAUAAACCCAAUAGACCCUGGGGCAAAGUAGGUAACAGUGCUUUGCUGUGGCUACUGAGAUUAAUGCAGAGAGGUAACUGGUUUCUCAGGAUGACAGCCAGACCUUCAGCACACCAGCAACAAGUUCAUUCACGUGGAGAGGAUGCACAGAGAGCACAGAGAGCUCCUUAACAGCUCCUUACAGCAUAUGCUCAAAGGUUGUUCCACUGGCUGCUGAGUUACUUCUCUCUCUUGUGAGUUACUUCUUUCUCUUCUGAAUCCUGAGAAAUAAGACCCACAAGGCAGUAUGCCUAGGCAUAAUAUUUAACUGCCCAAGUUCCUGUUCCUGCAUGACAGAGUCACCUCCAUGAACAGGCUCAGGGCAGGUUAGGACAACACCUUAGCUAGGAGCACUGCUUAAGCUUAGUGCCCAUCAGCAGUGUUCCUAGUUGAAGAUGUAAUUCUGGAGUCAGGAUUCAUUUUUGGCUAACAAUAUCACUUUUUUUCUUAAAUUCAGAAUUGGUCCAGCACUUCCUCUCUGGUUUGGGUUCUGUGCUGGUAGAAGAAAUUUUUCCCUGCCAUUGGGAUGCUUGCACUUGGUCAUUUGGCAGCUCUCAAGUAAGCCUGCCCAGUGGCAUGCAGCUCAGUUGUGAGCCUCAAAUAUUAGCCCUUCUGUCUUUGAAAAUGUGCAGUCAUUCUACUGCCUGUGAUUUCUGCAUGUCACUGUUCACUGUGUUUUCAAUCAUUAGC